ACGAUGAGUGCUCGAUGGUGCAGCGAUUGGGUCUGCACUGUCUAAGCUAACGCGUUAAGCACUCCACCUGGGGAGUACGCUCGCAAGGGUGAAACUCAAAGGAAUUGACGGGGGCCCGCACAAGCGGUGGAGCAUGUGGAUUAAUUCGAUGCAACGCGAAGAACCUUACCCAGGCUCGAACGCUGCCGGACAGUCCCUGAAAGGGGAUCUUCUUCGGACCGGUAGCGAGGUGCUGCAUGGCUGUCGUCAGUUCGUGUCGUGAGAUGUUGGGUUAAGUCCCGCAACGAACGCAACCCCUAUCGCUAGUUACCAGCGGGUAAUGCCGGGGACUCUAGCGAGACUGCCUGCGCAAGCAGUGAGGAAGGUGGGGAUGACGUCAAGUCAUCAUGGCCCUUACGCCUGGGGCCUCACACGUGCUACAAUGGACGGUACAGUGGGCAGCCACCCCGCGAGGGGGAGCGAAUCCUCAAGGCCGUUCUCAGUUCNGAUCGGAGUCUGCAACUCGACUCCGUGAAGCCGGAAUCGCUAGUAAUCGCGUAUCAGCCAUGACGCGGUGAAUACGUUNCCNGGCCUUGUACACACCGCCCGNNNAGCCAUGGAAGUUGGGGGCACCCGAAGUCCGUGACCCGACCCGACCNAGG
rnacentral:rRNA from 1 species